GGUCACUGCUAUCGGGGUUCGAUUAAGCCAUGCGAGUCGAGAGGGUUCGGCCCUCGGCGUACUGCUCAGUAACACGUGGAUAACCUGCCCUAGGGGAGGGGAUAACCCCGGGAAACUGGGGAUAAUACCCUAUAGGUUACAGAUGCUGGAAUGCCCUGUAACCAAAAGCUCCGGCGCCCUAGGAUGGAUCUGCGGCCGAUUAGGUUGUUGUUGGGGUAACGGCCCAACAAGCCCGUAAUCGGUACGGGUUGUGGGAGCAAGAGCCCGGAGUUGGAUUCUGAGACACGAAUCCAGGCCCUACGGGGCGCAGCAGGCGCGAAAACUUUACAAUGCGGGAAACCGUGAUAAGGGAACACCGAGUGCCAGCAUCAUAUGCUGGCUGUCCAGAUGUGUAAACUACAUCUGUUAGCAAGGGCCGGGCAAGACCGGUGCCAGCCGCCGCGGUAACACCGGCGGCCCGAGUGGUGACCGUUAUUAUUGGGUCUAAAGGGUCCGUAGCCGGUUUGGUCAGUCCUCCGGGAAAUCUGAUAGCUUAACUGUUAGGCUUUCGGGGGAUACUGCCAGGCUUNGGAACCGGGAGAGGUAAGAGGUACUACAGGGGUAGGAGUGAAAUCUUGUAAUCCCUGUGAGACCACCUGUGGCGAAGGCGUCUUACCAGAACGGGUUCGACGGUGAGGGACGAAAGCUGGGGGCACGAACCGGAUUAGAUACCCGGGUAGUCCCAGCCGUAAACUAUGCUCGCUAGGUGUCAGGCAUGGCGCGACCGUGUCUGGUGCCGCAGGGAAGCCGUGAAGCGAGCCACCUGGGAAGUACGGCCGCAAGGCUGAAACUUAAAGGAAUUGGCGGGGGAGCACAACAACGGGUGGAGCCUGCGGUUU
rnacentral:rRNA from 1 species